GUGCCAGCCGCCGCGGUAAUACCGGCAGCCCGAGUGAUGGCCGAUUUUAUUGGGCCUAAAGCGUCCGUAGCUGGCUGCGCAAGUCCAUCGGAAAAUCCACCCGCUCAACGGGUGGGCGUCCGGUGGAAACUGCGUGGCUUGGGACCGGAAGGCGCGACGGGUACGUCCGGGGUAGGAGUGAAAUCUUGUAAUCCUGGACGGACCGCCGGUGGCGAAAGCGCCUCGGGAGAACGGAUCCGACAGUGAGGGACGAAAGCCAGGGUCUCGAACCGGAUUAGAUA
rnacentral:rRNA from 1 species